GGGGUUGAGGCUCAGUGAUAGAGCACUUGCCUAGCAUGUAUGAGGCACUGGGUUCAAUUCUCAGCACCACA
rnacentral:tRNA from 1 species